CUGGCGUUCCGCCCUUCCGCGGCUCCGCGCCCGGCGUCUUGGUGCGCCGCACGGACCCUGAGGACCUGGAGUUCUGUACGCACGGCUCGUUGCGAGCGGCGCGGUCCUCGGGAUGCGCUCGCGCUGCCUCGUGGGCGCCCGCCGGCCAGGAAGGAGGCCAUGGACAGGACCAGGCGAGCUAGUGAGGCCUUGCAGAUGGAGGGAACCUGCAGUCCUUGCCCGUGGAACCGCGCAGGUGAAAGGGUGGACCGUCCUCUGCAGUUGCAGCCGCCUGCGGGGGCACGCGGUGCUGGGGCUUCCAGGAGCUGCCCCGCGGAGCUCAAAUGCCCGUGGCACGGCGCUCAGCCUGAGUCCACAUUGACACUUCACGGAGGCCAAGAACACACAGAUACUACGCGGACAACUAAGGGUAAGGAAGGCUUCUCAGAAUGCCUUAGAAUGUCAGGUACUGUGAUUUUAUUUUCUAAGAAUUGCUAGUGUAAACCGGUCGCGGUGGCGCAUGCCUCUAAUUCCAGCAGCUCGAGAAGCUGAGGCAGGAGGAUUGCGAGUUAAAAGCCAGCCUCUGCAAAAGCGAGGCGCUAAACAACUCAGUGCUUACCAAAAAAAAAAAAAAAAAAAAGGACUAGGGAAGUGGCUCAGUGGUCGAGUGCCCUUGAGUUCAAUCCUGGCACCCUGGUACCCGCGGCCCCCAAGAAAAGAAUUGCUUGUGUAAGCCACUAAAUUGAUUUGUAUAGGAUUUGAACCGUGGUUACGCAAAUGCAGGGGAGAUAAUGCACGUAGGUCUUUGUUUUGGGUUUUUGUUUUCUUUUCUGUUUUGUGUUGGUGCUGGGGAUUAAACUCAGGGGUGCUCAACAGCCCCAGCCCUUUUUCUUCUUUUUUGAGAUAGUCGUUGAUAAGUCUGGCAUGGAGUUUCUGAUCCUCCUGCCUCAGCUUCCCCAGUUGCUAGAUUAUAGAUGUGAGCCACUGUGCCCAGCAACGCCAGUCGUGUUACAUCUGAUCAAUAACAAACAUACCAAAAGUUGGCAAUGAAAUUCUGUUUUUCUUAAAAGCCCAAUAAAGGACACAAAUGCUUAAAUGUGGCUUCUUACUAACUAGAGUUGAUAGCUUUCCUGAGAGAAUAGUUUUAGGGAUGAGGGUAGGUGAGGGAGGUUCUGAAAACCCAUUCCCAAGAAGAGUCUGAAGAGUCAUAGCACUGGUGCCAGGAGGUGCCAGGAGAUGCAGGGUGAGCACAAGACAGGAGGGAAAACAAAAACCUGGGUCACAUGGGCAGCAGUUUGAUCCUGCACUUCCCAGGGAUGCGGAAAGCCAUUAUCUGACCCUGACCUUGGGCAGACUGAGGGGCACAGAGUGAGGCCGUGGUCGUGCUGGCAUCAUUAGUUUGGUCUCUGUCUAGAGGACCAGGAUACCCCUUAUUGGGGAGUGGCAGCUUGGUAAGUUAAUGGUAGGCAACUCCCAGUUUUUCUGCCUAAGCCAAAAGGGCUUUCAGCUUCAGCAUGCUGCUGAAACGUGGUGCCCUUGAGACUCUGCCGUCACACACUGUAUAUUCACUACUUUGUACUGUAGCAGUACCCCACGUGCUACCUGGGGACAGCAGUGUGUGGUAUGUGGAUUUCAGAGAUGGAAAUGAGACCUGUGUUCCACAAAAUUAGUGAAAUAAAGAUCUCAGGAGUUGGACCUCCUGAAGCUGAAGCCCUUGGCACCUCCCUGAGUGCCUAGUGCUUAGUCUUCAACUGAUGUCGAGUGCCUUCUCUGGGGCGGAGGCUGAGGCUGACCAGGGGACACUGGGGUGGCCCCAGUUACUCACUUUCUGUCAGCUGUGCAGCCACUAGGCAAAAUCUUCAUGGAACUAGAUGUGCACAAAUCAGUGACUUCAGCUAGUCAUCAGAACAGGAGAGCCAGUGAGGCCAUCAGGUGGAGGGAACCUGCAGUCCUUGCCCGUGGAACCGCGCAGGUAAAGGGUGGGCCGUCAGCAGCAGCAGCCCGAGGGGCACACGGUGCUGGGGCUUCCGGGAGCUGCAGUGCGGGCUCAGGUGCCCUGGUGCCCUUGGUAAGAGCAGGCUGGGGGUCCGCCCCAGCACCCGGCCUGGAGGCCUCAGCCAGCAGGGUCCACUGCCUUCACAUUCAGGUGCCCACUACAGCGCGGGUUCCCAGUCUGUCCAGACCAGGCACCUGUGAAGACGAGGCUGGCUCUGCAUUUAUACCAAUUUUUAUUCAUGAUAAAUUUUGUAGAUUUCUUUUAUAAAAGCAUUAAAGUCUGGACAAUCCAGAUUUUACAGUGACUGGAGUAAUGAAAUAGCUACACAUUUGAAAAUCAAGGUAACCUUUAAUACAUAUAAUUUUUCAUACAAACUUUUGACUUUUAAAAUAGUGGCUUGCUAUUUUACAAAAAAAGUUCAAUAAAAAUCCUUAAUUUAGAUGUUAUACCAUAGUCUAGUGGGAACAGGGAGGAGGGAGCUGUGGAAGAGACCCAGGCCACACUCCACAGCCCUGGUCCCUUACCCUGCCCGCUGCAGUGAGUGUACUUUGGGUUUUUAAAAAAAUUGUCUUAAGUCAAAUGCAAUUUCUUCUAAAACUUGUUUCAAAAGCCACUUCACGACUGUUCUUUCAACAAAGACUAAAGGCAAGGACCUUGCUGUAUCAGAACUUGAGAAGCGGUGAGUCCACAUUCUCCUUGUCAGCCUCAGGGCUCAGCUGGACCAGAGGGGAGCCCAGGUCGAUCAGCUGGAAGGGCAGAGACAACAAGGUGAGCGGAGCUGCCCUGGGCAGGCCAACAACUCAGCCCCCUGGAUCACCCGGUUCAGGUCCACUUAAAGGAAACCUCGACCAUCACAUCUAAGCCCACACACACUGACCCCAGGCCCUCACAUACUCAUGCUUCUUCCCAGCUCCGCACACCAGGGGGGUGUGGAGUUGGGAACAUGACCCCUGCCCCCAAGGCCUGGCAGGAGUUCACCACUCAGCAUCAGAGGGUGAACUUCAAGAAGCUCAGGCCAAGCAAGAAGCCUCAGGGCCACCAUGCCAUGCCCUGGGGCGAGGAACCAAACCAGGCUGAAGCCAGCAGGAAUCACCUGCCACUUCUCACCUGUCCCUCGGCCUGCAAAGGUUUUGACACACUGUUUUUUGACACGCUGUUUCUGUUCACAUCUGGAGUGUUCGUGGUGAGGUCGAUCAGGGGUCUGCUUGCAGAUCCCAAAGCCACAUCUGCUUCAGGAGGGCUGCAGAAGUCGAUGAGGGGGAGAUCUGCCGGGGGCCUGCUUCCCACUUGAGGAGUGAUGGUGAGCUGACCCAGCCCGAUGUCUAUGAGAAGAGCCUAGGCAGGACAGACGGAAGGUGGUCCAGCACUGUUCUGCCCUGCUCAUGUCCCGAGGGUCCACAGCUGGAGCCAAAGAAAGAGGCUGGGCCUGCCGCAGCAGGGUGCACCAGUCCACCCACCUCGCACACAGGACUGCCCUGCUCCCACUUCCUGUCCUUUGGCUCUGAUCAGCUCCGCGGCCAAACACAGGCAAAGGCUCAGGACACUCCGAGGACAAGUUUCCUAUACUCUGCAGUCACUUUACCACUGGGCCCUCCUCUCUUUGGGGCAGCCCAUCUUCUUCCAGACUGCUUCCUGAGUGACCACACCCUCCCUGGCAAGGGGACAGUCUUGAGGUCUGGGCCACUAGAGACGACCUUGCUUGUCACCUGUCUCACCUCACAGCAGAUCUCCUCUGAGGCUCAGAAGAGAGUCUCCGAGCAGGUGCACAGAGCGGGGAAGCCAGAGCUCGGGGCAAGGUUUUGGGAGUCAUCAGAGGAAGGCCAGAGAGGCGCCAGCCGCCAGGUGUGGGCAGUGCUGACACCCGUCGCGCACUCGUGGGCGUCCCUCUGCUGCUCAACAGGCUUUGUGAAGUUGGCCCUGAUGAACGUCUUGCAGGAGUGCUGUGAGCAAUGGCCCUGGUGAAGACAAAGAAGAGCCCUGAGCAGAGACGGCCUCGACAGACUGGAAUCCAAUGAGCCAGCGUGCUGACGCAGAGCAAGUCCACGGUUUCAACAGGCGCCAGACCCCAAGCUGCUGCCAGGCCACCACGAGACCUCUGGUGGGUAGAGCUCCCCCCACCCACAGGCAAGGAAGAGAGAAUCUCGUCAGAUGUGGCUGUACUUCACAGGGGUAGGAAAACACAUGGAAGUCAAAAGAAUCUCAGCGGUCACUUUUUUAAAUAUAUUUUUUAGUUGUGGAUGGAUACAA